CGCUAUCACUCCUACGGGAGGCAGCAGUGGGGAAUAUUGCACAAUGGGCGCAAGCCUGAUGCAGCCAUGCCGCGUGUGUGAAGAAGGCCUUCGGGUUGUAAAGCACUUUCAGUCGUGAGGAAGGUAGUGUAGUUAAUAGCUGCAUUAUUUGACGUUAGCGACAGAAGAAGCACCGGCUAACUCCGUGCCAGCAGCCGCGGUAAUACGGAGGGUGCGAGCGUUAAUCGGAAUUACUGGGCGUAAAGCGCAUGCAGGUGGUUUGUUAAGUCAGAUGUGAAAGCCCGGGGCUCAACCUCGGAAUUGCAUUUGAAACUGGCGGACUAGAGUACUGUAGAGGGGGUAGAAUUUCAGGUGUAGCGGUGAAAUGCGUAGAGAUCUGAAGGAAUACCAGUGGCGAAGGCGGCCCCCUGGACAAAGACUGACGCUCAGAUGCGAAAGCGUGGGGAGCAAACAGGAUUAGAUACCCUGGUAG
rnacentral:rRNA from 1 species